rnacentral:tRNA from 1 species
UCCUGGUUAGCUCAGUUGGUAGAGCGCCCUACUAGUCUUGAAGAGGUCCCGGGAUCAAAUCCCGGACCGGGCG